CCUACGGGAGGCAGCAGUGAGGAAUAUUGGUCAAUGGACGAGAGUCUGAACCAGCCAAGUAGCGUGAAGGAUGACUGCCCUAUGGGUUGUAAACUUCUUUUAUAUGGGAAUAAAACGUUCCACGUGUGGGAUUUUGUAUGUACCAUAUGAAUAAGGAUCGGCUAACUCCGUGCCAGCAGCCGCGGUCAUACGGAGGAUCCGAGCGUUAUCCGGAUUUAUUGGGUUUAAAGGGAGCGUAGGUGGAUUGUUAAGUCAGUUGUGAAAGUUUGCGGCUCAACCGUAAAAUUGCAGUUGAAACUGGCAGUCUUGAGUACAGUAGAGGUGGGCGGAAUUCGUGGUGUAGCGGUGAAAUGCUUAGAUAUCACGAAGAACUCCGAUUGCGAAGGCAGUUCACUGGACUGCAACUGACACUGAGGCUCGAAAGUGUGGGUAUCAAACAGGAUUAGAUACCCCAGUAGUC
rnacentral:rRNA from 1 species